CAGUAGCCGCGGUAAUACGAAGGGUGCAAGCGUUACUCGGAAUUACUGGGCGUAAAGCGUGCGUAGGUGGUGGUUUAAGUCCGUUGUGAAAUCCCCGGGCUCAACCUGGGAAUGGCAGUGGAUACUGGCUCGCUAGAGUGUGUCAGAGGAUGGUGGAAUUCCCGGUGUAGCGGUGAAAUGCGUAGAGAUCGGGAGGAACAUCAGUGGCGAAGGCGGCCAUCUGGGACAACACUGACGCUGAGGCACGAAAGCGUGGGGAGCAAACAGGAUUAGAUACCCGCGUAGUCCCUGUCUCUUAUAC
rnacentral:rRNA from 1 species